rnacentral:rRNA from 1 species
ACACCCGAAGUCGGUGAGGUAACCACUUGUGGAGCCAGCCGCCGAAGGUGGGACAGAUGAUUGGGGUGAAGUCGUAACAAGGUAGCCGUAUCGGAAGGUGCGGCUGGAUCACCUCCUUUCUAAGGA